rnacentral:tRNA from 1 species
GCCCGGACCGAAUUGAUAAGGUUAUCGCUACGAACGAGGUGGUCGGUGGUUCGAAUCCACCCAGCGGCU